rnacentral:misc_RNA from 1 species
AAGUCGUAACAAGGUUUCCGUAGGUGAACCUGCGGAAGGAUCAUUAACACGUAUCCAACGUUAAACAACCCUGUGAACUUUAAGUCCCCUCUUGCAGCCCAUGAGGAACAGCAAUCCCGGUAAAUCAUUGCCAAACAGUUUUGAUUCGGGACCUCUGUCCAAAAGGAGUUGCAAUCGAAGGGUGGAAGCCAAGCAGUUAGUGAAUGACAGUGUCACUGACUGUGUAAGGAUAACGCCUCACGGUUGCUAGAGGUCGAUCACCGACCGGCAGACAUGUCACAGGGUCACCACGCCCCUUAAUCACUCCACUUGAAAAUGCCCCGCCUAGUGGUAACGCGCUAGGUAAAAAAAACCGAACAACUGUUAACAAUGGAUAUCUUGGUUCUC